rnacentral:tRNA from 1 species
GCCUGGGUGGCUCAGUCGGUUAAGCGUCUGACAUCAGCCCAGGUCAUGAUCUCAGAGUUCGUGGGUUCAAGCCCCGCAUCAGGCU